rnacentral:misc_RNA from 1 species
GAUGAAGAACGUAGCGAAAUGCGAUAAGUAAUGUGAAUUGCAGAAUUCAGUGAAUCAUCGAAUCUUUGAACGCACAUUGCGCCCGCCAGUAUUCUGGCGGGCAUGCCUGUUCGAGCGUCAUUUCAACCCUCAAGCCCCAGCGGCCUGGUGUUGGGGACCUGCGACCUCGCCCGAGCCCGCCCUCCGGGGCGCGUGCCCGGUGCGUCCGCCGCCCCCGAAAUGAAUUGGCGGCCUCGUCGCGGCCUCCUCUGCGUAGUAGCACAACCUCGCAAGCGGGAGCGCGACGCGGCCACUGCCGUAAAACGCCCAACUUUUUUAGAGUUGACCUCGGAUCAGGUAGGAAUACCCGCUGAACUUAAGCAUAUCAAUAAGCGGAGGA